rnacentral:rRNA from 1 species
UACGGAGGGUGCAAGCGUUAUCCGGAUUUACUGGGUUUAAAGGGUGCGUAGGUGGAUAAGAAAGUCAGUGGUGAAAUCUUCGGGCUUAACCCGGAAACUGCCAUUGAUACUAUUUAUCUUGAAUACUUUGGAGGUAAGCGGAAUAUGUCAUGUAGCGGUGAAAUGCUUAGAUAUGACAUAGAACACCAAUUGCGAAGGCAGCUUACUACACAGUAAUUGACGCUGAGGCACGAAAGCGUGGGGAUCAAACAGG